GAGCUGUCCGCGGUGCUGAAACGCCGCUGCUGCUGCUGCUGUUAAUGCUAUUAUUGCUGCUGCACGAGACGGAGCUCCGCGCGCUCCUCCCGUCCUUCUCUCUCUCUUCAUCAAACCCUCCACAUCCGACCACAGCUCACCCCGAACACACCCCCGGACCCGCCCCUUCAACACCGGCCACGCCUUCCUCCGGGGUCCCACGCCACGGCGCUGGCGCCUGCUCGCUCGCGCCGCUCUGGGAAAGUGCUUGAACAGGAGGACGGACGCGCUGCGCGGGGUGAGCGCGAGCCCAGCGGCGGAAAAAAGGCACGAGCACGAUCGCGCGUUACACGGCGAACAUGGUCAGCGUGGCGCUGGCCGUACUGGCCGUACUGGCCGUGGUGGUCUCGGCACGCGGGCAAGCUUCUUUCAUGGAGGGGAAAGUGACGGUUACUGAUAGAGGAGGCUCUCUGGAGGCAGAAGACGGGCAGAAUGUGUUCCACAGCACACAGGAAACAAACAGAGACCCUCCUCUGGUCACCACUGCUCCACCCUUCAGCGGCCUCAACCACCACCCUCCAUUCAAAGCCUUCGCUCGGCCUGACCCACUCCGUCAGGACCGGCUGAGAGCCGAGUCGGAUGUGUUCAUGGGUCACACGUCAACCCAGCUGGUUCCUCAUGAAGAUGCAGUGCCGUUCUCUGAUGUAGCUGUUACUGUUCCCACUGCUACACCCACUGGUGGAGCUGCCAGAGCCGCUGGAGGUGCUGGAGACGCACCAUCUGAGGCUAUGACCACCGAGACACUGACCACCACCAUGAUACCCACCUCAGCUCCGCCUCCCUGCAACACACUUCCUGGAGGACAGCCAGCCCACUCUAAUCUGGCAACAACACAAGGUAAUCAGGCUGUAACUACACUGGUGACCAGAGAAGAAGAAGAAACUCCAAAACCAAGACCAGAACAUCACACCUCCGCCAGUGACAAAAGCCCAGUGACAUCAUCAGAGGCUAAGGAUGGGGAUGAGGAAACCACUACAACUACUAUUAUUACCACCACCAUCAUUACCACCAUGCAGACACCAGGUAACACCACCUGCACUGUUCCUGUUGGAAUUAAUAACCACAGCUCUGGAAAAAAUAAUAAGAGACCACUUAAAAUUAUGAGCUUUUUUGAUUUUACCAAACUAAAAAAAACUCUGGAAUAUAAAAUUAAGUUGAACUGCUGC
rnacentral:lncRNA from 1 species